GAUGAAGAACGUAGCGAAAUGCGAUACUUGGUGUGAAUUGCAGAAUCCCGUGAACCAUCGAGUCUUUGAACGCAAGUUGCGCCCGAAGCCAUUAGGCCGAGGGCACGCCUGCCUGGGCGUCACACGUCGUUGCCCCCCCAUCUACUCCUUCGGGAUUGCGGGGGGCGGAUGAUGGCCUCCCGUGCGCCUCGUCGCGCGGUUGGCAUAAAUGCCAAGUCCUCGGCGACGCACGCCACGACAAUCGGUGGUUGCGAAACCUCGGUUGCCUGUCGUGUGCGGUCGUCGCGCAUCGAGGGCUCGAAAAAAUUGUCGGGCUCCGGCUCGGCUUUCAACGCGACCCCAAGUCAGGCGGGGUUACCCGCUGAAUUUAAGCAUAUCAAUAAGCGGAGGA
rnacentral:misc_RNA from 1 species